rnacentral:rRNA from 1 species
GAUGAACGCUGGCGGCGUGCUUAACACAUGCAAGUCGAACGUGAGAGGGUAGCAAUAUCCUUGAAAGUGGCGCACGGGUGAGUAAUACGUAGGUAACCUGCCCUGGAGUGGGGGAUAACAACUGGAAACGGUUGCUAACACCGCAUGAUACCGGACAUUCGGGAGAGUGACUGGUAAAAACUCUGGUGCUUCAGGAGGGGCCUGCGGCCGAUUAGCUAGUUGGUGGGGUAAAGGCCCACCAAGGCAGUGAUCGGUAGCUGGUCUGAGAGGACGAUCAGCCACACGGGAACUGAGACACGGUCCCGACUCCUACGGGGGGCAGCACUGAGGAAUAUUGGGCAAUGGGCGCAAGCCUGACCCAGCAACGCCGCGUGGAGGAAGACGGCCUUCGGGUUGUAAACUCCUUUUACGGGGGAAGAGGAAGGACGGUACCCCGAGAAUAAGUCACGGCUAACUACGUGCCAGCCGCCGCUGUAACAC